UAUCCGCCCGUCUCUGUGGUAGCCGAGUGCCGGGGCCCCUCCCGGGCCCCUCCCCUCUUCGGCGGCAGAGAGUUCUUCGGACUCUACCCUGAGCGGACACAGGGGCUACCGGGCUCCAGCGUCGGUCGGAUCCCGGGUCAUGGCGGUCCGGGGGCCCGCACCCCGGGCUGACGCCAGGCCCAGGUUAGAUCUGCAAUUUUUCCAGCGGUUCCUGCAGAUACAGAAGGUUUUGUUUCCCUCUUGGUCAUCACAGAAUGCCUUGAUGUUCCUGACCCUUUUGUGUGUGGCCCUACUGGAACAACUGGUGAUCUACCGGGUUGGCUUGAUUCCCAGUCAGUACUUUGGGGUCCUAGGAAACAAAGAUUUAAGUGGGUUUAAGACCCUGACGUUCCUGGCUGUUGUGCUCAUCGUCCUCAACUCCAUGGUAAGGUCUUCUCCCUGUGUCUCUCUUCCUCUCCAGCCUAGUGUGAUGCCUCUCCAGUGCCCAGUGGGACUUAGCCACCAGGAAGCAGGAACCAAGCUGUGGCUGAAGAGCUUUGACCAGUUCACCUGCAACCUGCUGUAUGUGAGCUGGAGGAAGGACCUCACCGAGCACCUCCACCGCCUCUACUUCCGGGGCCGCGUGUACUACACCCUCAACGUGCUGCGGGAUGACAUCGAUAACCCGGACCAGCGCAUCAGCCAGGACGUGGAGCGGUUCUGCCGGCAGCUCAGCAGCAUGGCCAGCAAGCUGAUCAUCUCCCCCUUCACCCUCGUCUACUACACCUAUCAGUGCUUCCAGAGCACCGGCUGGCUCGGGCCUGUGAGCAUCUUUGGGUAUUUCCUUCUGGGAACCGUGGUGAACAAAAUGUUGAUGGGUCCCAUUGUGGCAAAGCUGGUGCAGCAGGAGAAGCUGGAGGGGGAUUUCAGGUUCAAGCACAUGCAGAUCCGGGUGAAUGCUGAGCCUGCUGCUUUUUUCAGAGCUGGGCAUGUGGAGCACGUGAGGACAGACCGCAGGCUGCAGAGACUCCUUCAGACCCAGAGGGAGCUGAUGUCCAAGGAGCUCUGGCUGUACAUCGGCGUCAACAUGUUUGACUAUCUGGGCAGCAUCCUGAGUUACGUCGUGAUCUCAAUCCCCAUUUUCAGCGGCAUCUACGGAGACCUGAGCCCCACAGAGCUCAGCACCCUGGUCAGCAAGAACGCCUUUGUGUGCAUGUACCUCAUCAGCUGCUUCACCCAGCUCAUCGAUCUGUCCACCACGCUCUCCGAUGUGGCAGGCUACACACACAGAAUCGGGGAACUUCAGGAGACCCUGCUGGACAUGACCCUGAAGUCACAGGAUGGGGAAAUCCUGGACGAGAGCGAGUGGGACUUGGCCAGGGCCCCGGGAUGGCCAGCAACAGAGAGAACAGAUACAGCUUUUCUCCUUGAGCGUGUCUGCAUCUCCGCCCCCUCGUCUAACAAACCCUUAAUCAAGAAUCUGAGCCUGAAGAUCUCUGAGGGGCAGAGCUUGCUUAUCACAGGCAACACGGGCACCGGCAAGACCUCCUUGCUCCGGGUUCUGGGUGGCCUCUGGGAGAGCACAUGGGGCUCAGUGCAGAUGCUGACGGACUUUGGACCCCACGGGGUGCUGUUCCUGCCACAAAAGCCAUUCUUCACUGACGGGACCCUUCGGGAGCAGGUGAUAUAUCCCUUGAAGGAGAUCUACCCCGACUCAGGUUCUGCUGAUGAUGAGAGGAUCAUGAGGUUCCUGGAGUUGGCAGGCCUGUCCGGCUUGGUGGCAAGGACAGAGGGUCUGGACCAGCAGGUCGAUUGGAACUGGUAUGAUGUUCUGUCCCCAGGAGAGAUGCAGAGGCUCUCCUUUGCCCGGCUCUUCUACCUGCAGCCGAAGUACGCAGUGCUUGAUGAAGCCACCAGUGCCCUGACCGAGGAGGUGGAGAGCGAGCUCUACCGCAUCGGCCAGCAGCUGGGCAUGACGUUCGUCAGCGUGGGCCAUCGGCGCAGCCUUGAGAAGUUUCACUCCUUGGUUCUGAAACUCUGUGGAGAAGGAAGGUGGGAGCUGACCAGAAUCAAAGUGGAAUGAAGCCAAGGCUGGCCACCGGCAGGAGAGCCAAGCCCAGGAGGUCGAGUCGCCAGGAGAGAGCAGGAGGGCUGACGGGGAUCCAUGCAGAAUGUGAGAUCUUAGUUCCCCAACCAGGGAUCAAACCCGUGCCCCCUGCAGUGAAAGCAUGGAGUCUUAACCACUGGACUGCCAAGGAAGUCCCUAAGAUAAUCUUUUUAACUGACUCUCCAGGCUUGUCUUUGAGAGCCUGAGGGGUGGGAGCAGCACUCUCCACUGUGCUGGAACCUUCUGCCCGUUGGUUCUUCACUUCACUGGCAUCUCCCACUUACCCAUUGCCAGUUGUCCCUCAGCCACUAACCUCGAGGGCCCUUCUGCUUUUCUUAACCCAGAUGAAAAUAAAUCCUGUAAUAUUUUUAAGUUAAUUCAUUUCUUAAAUACAUUUUUAAAAAUAUAAAUUUAUUUUUGGCUGCAUUGGGUCUUCGUUGCUGUGCGCGAGCUUUCUCUAGUUGUGGUGAGCGGGGGCUACUCUUCGUUGCGGUGCGUGGGCUUCUCAUUGCGGUGGCUUCUCUUGUUGCGGAGCACGGGCUCUAGGUACGCGGGCUUCAGUAGUUGUGGCUCACGGGCUUAGUGCUCCGUUGCGUGUGGGAUCUUCCCGGACCAGGGCUCGAGCCCAUGUCCCCUGCAUUGGCAGGCAGAUUCUUAACCACUGCACCACCAGAGAAGCCCCCUAAAUGCAUUUUUAAAGGAAAGUUUACACUUGAUAUAAAUAGAAAGUAACUGUAAAAAUUAAUACAAAUAGUGUUAUGGAAUGGCAGCUCUGUACUGCACCUGCAAAGACUCUACACCUGAGGCUUGCUCUCUGUACAAAGGGAGGUUAGGUAUGUUACAGAGGAGUUAGAUAUACUAGCACCCAACUGAGAAUCUUCUUAAUAGAUUUGGGGAAAUGGAAUGGGAACUGCAAAGGAAGUGAUUUUCUCUCUCUCAAAGAUGAGGUUAUUUAAUGCCUGUUGAUACCACUGAAAAUGAUCCCAGAUGCGGGGUGGAGCUCCAGACUUGGGGAGAUGUCGCCCUGGGUAACAUGACUAACCCCCUCCCUCCAUGGCGUGGCUGGCACGGAGGCCUCAAGCCUAUUCUCAGCUCUGCCCCGUACGGGUGCUAAAGCAGUGUGUCCAGGUGCCAAGCCAAGAGAACUCUGGGGUGGGCACCUGACCAGGUCUGAUGGUGUGUCCAGUCUCCGGUGAAGCCUACUUAGGGACCUACAGGAUGUCAGCAUCGGGAAGGCCCGUGGCAGCCCUUCUCAUGGGGCUGAAAGGGACCGUCAAGGUGGGCAUCUGCUUCAGGAGCCUUCCCAUACUUGAAUCUCCCAACCAUAUCCUGCCAAGUGCUCUUCUGGCCUCUGUUCAGACACCUCUAGCAUUGGGGGCCAUCCAUCCUCAGACCCCUCUGAGGAAAGCUCUUCCUUAGGCCAAGGGGAAACGUAUUCCCCUCAGGAUCUCCCUGACUCCCACCCCUUGGGCAUGUUUUAAAUUGUGGGGUUUGGGUGUGGAAAGACUUCCUCUCUGGUUUAAUUUCUGUACCUUCAUCGAUAUAGCUGAAGCUCCCCUCAGCCUUUUUGGUGAUAGCAUUGCCUCGCUGACUUGCUUCAUCCUCACAAGCUCCUUCAACUCCUAAGCCUUCUUCACAAGUGCUGCUCCUAGCAGAUUAUUAUAGAGGCCAAGUUUGUUCCCAACUCAGUCUUUGCACUUGCUAUUUCCUCCACCUCAAACAUGUUCCCAGUGCUGUUUCUGUUCUUAAUACUCAAAUACUCAGCCUCCUCCCUUGCAGAAACUCUGCCAAGAGAAGGCCAUUCUUAGAGGCAGACUGUACCCUUAUCCAUCAUUCAUCUCAGAGAUGGUGGCCACUUGAGAUUUUUAGAUGAAUCGAUACAAACCUGCAUGAGGAGAAGUCAGGUUAUGUGUCCUCAGUGUAUGACAAGGACCAAAAUGUUUAUUUUAAAUGUUUUAAAAUAAGCCAGGCAAAUAAUUUCCCAAACUUAAGUCUCCUU